rnacentral:lncRNA from 10 species
GAGACAGAAUGUCAGUUUUGAAAUAUAGGAGUUCGAGAUUAGAAACCUAAUACUUUUGUUAUGAAUUAUGCUAAAACGGUAAAAAAAUUUUCAAAAUAUAGUUGUCUCAAAUACACUCUUCUCAGAUAACAGAAGGCCAGGCAAGGGCACUGACUUGAAGGGAAACAAACCACAGUAAUAUGACUGCCUGAAAGUAACUAUGGAAUUCAGUUUCUCAAAGUGAUUACUUCUUCUAAUCUUCAUAUUGAUGACUCACUAGUACAUUUACUUUGAUGGGUUUAAUCAACUCUGAUAACAUAGUUCCAAACACUUAAAAGGACCUGAUUUAUGUAUUAAAUAAAGGUUAAUUUGUUCUUGAGAAAUUGACAAAAGAUUUGGUCAAACGUAAAUGAAUAUGCAAUAAGUCACAUAAGUCUGUGUGUAUAUACAUAUAUGACUUUAAUUUUAUAAGUGCAUGUGUAUACGCACACCUUUAGCUCAUUUAAAUAAAAAGCUAUCCAAUGUUUUAUGUCCAUUAUGUCCCCCGUUAACAUUGAGCAAAAUGUUAACCCCUACUAUAUAUGCAAGGGAAAUAAAUUAAGUUGUUAUAUAGAAACCCUUGACACUAUAUGCAAUUUCUUAUGUCCCAUAUUCUGAUAAUAUCUGUCCUCUUGGCUCUUACUUCUUGGAAUUUCUCAUAAACACGGAAGCUUCAUGACAAAUUGUGUAAAUCAUCAUUUCCUCCUUUAUGAAGUAUAUUGAAGACAAAAGGGAUUAAAGUCAUUUCACAUUUAGCAAAGCUAUUUUAUGGCAACAUUGUUACAACACAAAAUAGACAUUGCAGUUUACAAUUAACAAUUACACAGUGAUUUCAUAACAAUACUACUUACUCCAAUUAACAAAAUAUUUCUUUAUAAAAAAUAUGUUCAAAAGGAGGUUUACAUUCACUUCUUCGUUUAAUAUCAAGGUUGUUAACAAUGGUCUUAGGAGAUGCAAAGACGAAAAACUACUUACCUUAAAAAUCUGUAUUCUUGAAGAUAUAUACUCCACUUGAAUAAGAUACUGCUCAAGGUUUAGGCUUCCUGGAGAACUCAGAGGAUUUUGUAGUUGUACUUAAUAUACUCAAUAGCCAAAUUUCCUAAACUUUCAUAAUUUUGCUAACCAAGGGCCCUUAACAAAGUUAAAAGACACCACAGGGUUCAAAAGUGAACAAAUAUGUUGUUUUUGUUUUAAGACGGAGUCUCAUUCUUGUCACCUAGGCUGGAGUGCAGUGGCGCAAUCUCUGCUCACUGCAACCUCCAUCUCCCGGGUUUAAGUGAUUCUCACACCUCAGCCUUCCGAGUAGCUGGGAUUACAGGCGCGCGCCACCAAGCCCAGCUAAUUUUUACAUUUUUAGUAGAAAUGGGGUUUCACCAUGUUGGCCACGCUGGUCUCAAACUCCUGACCUCAAGAGAUCCGCCCGCCUCGGCCUCCCAAAGUGCUGGGAUUACAGGCAUGCGCCACUGUGCCUGGUCACAAAUAUGUUAAUGAGCCAAUUAAGAUGGUGCUGCUCAAAUGAUUCUAAUUCAGGAAACUUAGGUUGCAGCUAGGUAAUCUCUAGUUCUCUAAAGAAUAAUACCCAAAUGACAGGAUUUAUGUGUUGAUGCAAUAAUAGCUCAGUCUGUUUCAUGACCUAGCUAGAGUCAGAAUUGGAGCGGUGGCUAUAGCACAGGGGUGGCUUUCUCCUCUCUGAAGGAAAAGUAAAGAAGUAAGAAGAAAGAGGUUGAAAGAACAGCCUACACAGUUGUUGCCCAGAUCUCAAAAUUAGCAACAAGUAUGUCAGCUGUCCUAAUUAUUACCAAACAGGUCCUGGGAGUGUCUGACACACAACAUAAUAUAGGUGCAAUCAGUUCCAGAAUCUGGUUCCUGGAUCUGAACUAAUUUAGCUAUAAGACCUUCAGCAAGACCAUCUCUAUGGCCUGCAUCUCUCUCCUAUAGGUUUGACAAAGAUUCACCUAUGAGUUUGAUGAAGACAGGGCUAUCUCUAGAAACUCACUGUAAGUAAGGAGACAAUUAACACUUUUGAAGCCCAUUUAUCCCUGAUGGUCAAUUACACACUAAGAACUUCCUUUUUUUUUUUUUUUUGAGACUGAGUCUCGCUCUUUCACCAGGCCGGAGUGCAGUGGCACUAUCUCAGCUCACUGCAAGCUCCGCCUCCUGGGUUCAGGCCAUUCUCCUGCCUCAGCCUCCCGAGUAGCUGGGACUACAGGCACCCGCCACCGCGCCCAGCUAAUUUGUUGUAUUUUUAGUAGAGAUGGGGUUUCACCGUGUUAGCCAAGAUGGUCUCGAUCUCCUGAUCUCGUGAUCCACCCACCUCGGCCUCCCAAAGUGCUGGGAUUACAGGCAUGAGCCACCGCGCCCGGCCAAGAACUUCCUUUUAAGAUUUGCCCUGAAGGGCCCUAGAGCAUUUCCUCUUCCAUGCAGAGAAUCAGAAAGCUUGGAUUCUAGCUCUAGCUCCCAACAAUUAGCUGUAUGUAAUUGAUGAUGGGUGACUUCAUUAGUGUCAAAGCCAAAGCAUAUUCUCUGUCAGCUUUUCAAAAAAACACGCAGUAAAGAGAGAUUCCUACCAGGAAAACUUUGAUGGGUGUUUUUCAAGUGUCAUCUCACAGCAGAAGAUGCCCCAAGUGGUCAAACCUUGCCAACAGCUUCAAAAAAAGGUAACUAGGAUUUAACUUUACGGUGCAUUUUGAUGUUUCCCUUUGUGUCAUAUCUGAUGAUAAAAGAACCUUAAAAAAAAAAAAAAAAAACACUAUCCAGCUUCUCCAUUCUGUCUCCUGCUUUACUUUCUCUUGUUUACAAAAUACAAAUUUAUAGCUGGAUUUGAUGCUGAAAAUUUAAUACAGUUACCUCAUGUCACAGAUAAAGAACAGAAAUGACUUGACCAAGUUCAC